rnacentral:rRNA from 1 species
AAUGAACGUUGGCGGCGUGGAUUAGGCAUGCAAGUCGAGCGUGAUCAGUUUGAUGCUUGCAUUAGACUGUGAAAGCGGCGAAAGGGAGAGUAACGCGUAGUUACCUACCUCAGGGUUCAGAAUAGCCACGGGAAACUGUGGGUAAUGCUGAAUAACAUCUCCGGAUCAAAGGUGUGAUUCCGCCAUGAGAGGGGACUGCGUCCUACUAGCUAGUUGGUGGGGUGAUGGCCUACCAAGGCGUUGAUGGGUAGCGGGUGUGAGAGCAUGACCCGUCUCACUGGGACUGAGACACUGCCCAGACACCUACGGGUGGCUGCAGUCGAGAAUCUUCGGCAAUGCGCGAAAGCGUGACCGAGCGAUGCCGCGUGCGGGAUGAAGGCCCUCGGGUUGUAAACCGCUGUCGUAGGGGAGGAAGGCUCCAUGAAGAAUGGGGUUUGACCUAUCCUAGGAGGAAGGACGGGCUAAGUUCGUGCCAGCCGCCGCCGUAA